CUAAGAAACGAACAGGCUGACCUUUUCAGAGCGUCUGAAAGAAAAAACCAGAUGUAUUCCUCAAGAGUCACUGUGACUGAAGGCUCGCAUUGUGCAGUCACAUAAAGGGAGAGCUAACCAGAAAACAGCAGCUGAGGAUCUGAAGCCGGGCUGUGCUAUUGUCCAGCACACAAAUGUUCUACAAGGACCCAGACCACCAUGCAGUUCGCUGUGCGCAGACUAUGGAGCUCUCCGCACCUCUUUCUCUCUCCACAUCUUAUGACAACUCGGGCCUCUGUAAGCGAUGUCUCCUACUCGUUAACGAGACCCUUGCGGAAAGCAGAGCACAGAACCACACGGUGCCCCCGACGGCCUCGGGUCCUCUUCCCAGCCCGGAACUCUGACUCUGGGACUGCAGGAUUUGGCAGGUCUGCUGCGUGUCAGCUAUCAGAAGAUUCAACUGAGGCCAUGAACAUGAACAUGCUUGGCACAGACCAGGUGCUUUGUACCAGUCAGCGCCCGCUCUGCCAGCACCUGCCGGCGCUCCUACAGCAGCUGGGGCAGAGGGCCAUCAUCACCGCGGUGACUACGGGGCUGUCUGCCACCAGCAGCACCGCUGUCAAGUGCAGCACUGCGUGCCCAGACCUGGACUUGGGCCCUGUCAAGUUGUGAGCGUGGAGGACCACACGGCCCCCAGAAAGGAGCUCUGUGGCCCGUCAUGCUGAGCAGCCUGGGCCAGCACCAAGCCUGGGAACUGAACAUCCGUCUGCCAGAUCCUGGCUCCGAGUGCUGGUAUGUGACCACACA
rnacentral:lncRNA from 1 species